CACGUAUGGUUCAUUCCUUGGAGUUAGCAGCUUCACUACCAUGAGAUCGGGAGGAAGUGUCUGCAUGCCACAAGGUACCUGUCCUGCCUCUCUGCUGAAGUCAAUUGCCCUGUGUAGCAUCAGCAUCAUCAGUGUAUUUGCACCUGUAGUUCUGCUGCCAUCCUGACAUGUCAGAUGAAACCACCAGCAGCAAGAAGAAGCACAACUGAGUUACUGGGAAGCCUCCACUGACUCCAUUCUUGUCUGACAGAUGCUGGAAGUGACAUGGGAAUGAUCUGACCAGCUUUCUACCUGCAGAACAAUUCUACUCUUCAAACAACAUUUCCCAACAGCCCAGCAUGCCCCAGUGUGCUGUGUGGUUGUGCAUCCCACUCAGAGCGCUUGUGUUGUCCCUCCUGUGCUGCUUACAGCUGCCUUUUCUGCCAGCUGGCCAAGGC